AGAGGGAUUGCUGGGUCAGAUGGUGGUCCUGUCCCCAACUCUCCAAGAAAUCUCCAUACUGCUUUCCAUAUUGGCUGCACCAAUUUGCAGUCCCACCAGCAGU
rnacentral:pre_miRNA from 1 species